GGGGUCGUAGUGCAGUUGGCUAGCACACCGGCCUGUCAAGCCGGAGGUCGCGGGUUCGAGUCCCGUCGGCCCCGCCA
rnacentral:tRNA from 1 species